rnacentral:rRNA from 1 species
AUUAUCACUAUUUGAAUGUACUCAAUGAAUAUGAGAUUGAUUCAAAUAGGGACAUGUAUGGUAAUGUAUGUUCAAUGAUCAUUGAAAUGCACCCC